GCGGCUCUCGCAGAGACGCGCAGGUGCUUGAUGUGGCCGCUGAAACAGCAGAGGGCGCCAAAGAGUCACUGUCGCCAGCACGGCCGCAUUUUUACCUGUGCGCGGGAGAGCUCAGCGCUGAGUCAUCUGUGGAGGGCUGUACAGGCCGCUUCCAGGACUGAGUUAUUACGAGUUGUGCUGCUAUAAACCCUGGGCUACUGCUGCCUCGCUUCGCCUGGCCGACACCUGCUUCCUCGGGACUUCCGCACCGGAGGCAGUCCCCCCUCCCAGCCCCUAGACCUCGCCUGUGUCGCUGCACUCUGCUCCCCGUCACCCGCUGCUCCCCUGCACUGCAGGCUCCACACCGAGCUCGGACUUCUCCACUGUCUCCAAGGAAGCGGCGGGUGCCUGGCUUGUCGGGGAGAAAUGAGCGCACGGCGGAGGCUGGAGGGACGAUCGAGUGCUCUGAAGCCAGCAUCGUCGCCUCCUUUCUCGUAGACAGAAAUCCGCAGCUCAGAGACGAGAAGUAACGCCAGAGGAGGAGAGCUGAGCGGCGCUGGCUGGGGAGCAGAGGCUGCACCCCGAGCAGCAGAGCUUGCUGUGGCAGCGUCCUCCAAGCCCCAAAGGUGCUGUGCCUGGCUUUCCCGCGAAACCACCAGCACCCGCCAUCUCCCUGAGUCAGGCGGACCUGUGCAGCAGAUACUGAAAACAAUGGAAGCCUUUGGCUCUUGGGAAAAAGCAGCUUUAUUCCAGCCAGGUGUGGUGGUGCUCUUCUAACCCCAGCACUCUGGGAGGCUGAGGCAGGAGGAUCACAAAUUUGUGCCCAGCCUAGGCACUUAAUAUGAAAGAUCCUGCCUCCAAAUAAAAAAGAAAAGGGGGGUAAGAGGGGGUGUAGCUCCAUGCGAAGCUCCUGGGCUCCCCAUUACCCAUUAAAAAAAAAAAAAAGA